UACAGAUGUUGCAAAGGUCUUUCCUAAGAUGUGUCCUCUUUCCUAAGGUGUGUCCACUUAAAGCACAUCCACUGCUCAGUUCUCUCUAAAUUGCAUGGGAGUGUGUGUACAUUUCCUUCAUCCUGCAUCUGAGCUCAGGCAGUACUGUACCUUAGGAAGGCUGCGGUAGAGACAGCUGAGCUAAAGCCACAAGCGUCUCUUCUAACUCCCCUCAGUUGGGUACACUUGACAUUUUCUCACCUUCUGUGCCAACAUGAAAUCCCACAGAGAGAGUGUGAGAAUGAGGUUGAGAGUGUUGCGGGAAGGAAACUGACAAGCACUCAGCCGUGGAGACACUGCCGCCAGCAGCGUGGUGAGAGGUCACAGCAGCUCCCCGGUCUCCUCAGCUGCCGGGGCUGUCCAGGCCCUCAGUGGGAAUGGGAGGAAAUCAACUUGCAUGCUCAAGUGGAGCAAAGCACUGGGUAAAUGUGCACACGUUGCAGGGCUCUGCUGCUCGCCGGUGGAGCCCCGAGGAGGAGAAUGAAGAUGAGCUUGCCUUCUCGAGCCACCCUAAAGCUGGGAUGGAGCCUUGCAUCGAGUUUCAUGAAGGGAAUGAUGGAGGGAAAGUACGAAGCUCAGGAAAACAGAGCAAAGUUAAGCACGUCCUCAAUCCAUGGCCCCCAAUCCUCACCAUUCUGGGCAAGGCCUUUUCUCCUUUUUUUAACUUUGUUUUAUACAUUUCCUCUUCAUCCCUGGCUCCUCCUUGCCCCAGCCCCAAUACUAAUAUGUGCUUGGACAUGUGUGUAUAUCAAUACACUUGAAAUUUUAUGAUGUUAUAUUGUCUUUGUAUGCAUUUUAAAUAUGUAUGUAUAUAUAUGUGUGUGUGUGUAUAAAAGUAGACUGUGG
rnacentral:lncRNA from 1 species